AUUGAACGCUGGCGGCAUGCCUUACACAUGCAAGUCGAACGGCAGCACGGGUGCUUGCCCCUGGUGGCGAGUGGCGAACGGGUGAGUAAUACAUCGGAACAUGUCCUGUAGUGGGGGAUAGCCCGGCGAAAGCCGGAUUAAUACCGCAUACGAUCUACGUAUGAAAGCGGGGGACCUUCGGGCCUCGCGCUAUAGGGUUGGCCGAUGGCUGAUUAGCUAGUUGGUGGGGUAAAGGCCUACCAAGGCGACGAUCAGUAGCUGGUCUGAGAGGACGACCAGCCACACUGGGACUGAGACACGGCCCAGACUCCUACGGGAGGCAGCAGUGGGGAAUUUUGGACAAUGGGCGAAAGCCUGAUCCAGCAAUGCCGCGUGUGUGAAGAAGGCCUUCGGGUUGUAAAGCACUUUUGUCCGGAAAGAAAUCCUUGGCCCUAAUACGGUCGGGGGAUGACGGUACCGGAAGAAUAAGCACCGGCUAACUACGUG
rnacentral:rRNA from 1 species